UGAGGAAUAUUGGUCAAUGGGCGCAAGCCUGAACCAGCCAUGCCGCGUGCAGGAUGAAGCAUCUAUGGUGUGUAAACUGCUUUUGUACGGGAAGAAACCACCCCUCGUGAGGGGUAUUGACGGUACCGUAAGAAUAAGGAUCGGCUAACUCCGUGCCAGCAGCCGCGGUAAUACGGAGGAUCCAAGCGUUAUCCGGAAUCAUUGGGUUUAAAGGGUCCGUAGGCGGUUUAAUAAGUCAGUGGUGAAAGCCCAUCGCUCAACGAUGGAACGGCCAUUGAUACUGAUAGACUUGAAUUACAAGGAAGUAACUAGAAUAUGUUGUGUAGCGGUGAAAUGCUUAGAUAUUACAUGGAAUACCAAUUGCGAAGGCAGGUUACUACUUGUGAUUGACGUUGAUGGACGAAAGCGUGGGGAGCGAACA
rnacentral:rRNA from 1 species